CAGCAGCCGCGGGAAUACGUAGGGCGCGAGCGUUAAUCGGAAUUACUGGGCGUAAAGCGUGCGCAGGCGGUUAUAUAAGACAGAUGUGAAAUCCCCGGGCUCAGCCUGGGACCUGCAUUUGUGACUGUAUAGCUAGAGUACGGUAGAGGGGGAUGGAAUUCCGCGUGUAGCAGUGAAAUGCGUAGAUAUGCGGAGGAACACCGAUGGCGAAGGCAAUCCCCUGGACCUGUACUGACGCUCAUGCACGAAAGCGUGGGGAGCAAACAGGAUUAGAUACCCGCGUAGUCCCUGUCUCUUAUAC
rnacentral:rRNA from 1 species